AACAUAAUACAGAACAUUAAUAGACAAGAACAGAACUACAUCAAUUCAAAAUAAAAACAAAAAUGCACUCUUUAUAUCAAAGGAGUGCCUAGACAGUUUGUGUGUGCAUUUAGCCUACAUAUCAAUACCAAUACACACACAAACUGUCUAGGCACUCCUUUGAUAUAAAGUUGUUUUUGACCAAUGAAAACGUGUCAGUUUCACAACGUUGGAGUAAAAUAACAUGUUCAACUGUUUAAGACAUUGUCUCCAGUCUUGGUUGUGAAAAUGAACUUCUCAUUGACUUCUGGAACCCCAAACCCUGGUCUGUUUGGUCUGUUUCACAAGUCUUGCGAUGUUUCUCCUCUGGGUGUAGAAACUCUUUGGCUAAAGUUAACUGAAAUUUGUAGUGGCUGACGACAGACAACUGAACCAUGGAUGAUAGUUUCUCCUGGUCCACAGACUACUUUCAGACUGAGGUACCAGCUAGCAUUAAGGUCUAAAAUCCUGUACUUCCCCUUAAAUGCUAAAGUUGAUGACAGUGGAUCACAGACUCUCCUGGUUGGCCCAGACAGUGGAUCACAGACUCUCCUGGUUGGCCCAGACAGUGGAUCACAGACUCUCCUGGUUGGCCCAGAGACUACAUUCAAGGAAAGGAACCAUCUAACUAAUGUUGUCAUUUUGGUGACCUAUCCCUUUAAAGUUUUUUAAAAUCAAUGACAUUAGGCGUGCACCAUAUCCUGACUAUUCCAGUUGAAUUAUCCAGACGCGGGUAGGUCAGAGAGAGUCAACUGGCCAUUCAGCUGACAGUUUGUUAAUUGACUGACUAGGAAGUGGUUUUGUUUGUCUUAGUGUCUGUAGUCACGAUGUAGUUCUGUACUGAAUGCAGCCAUCUGCUGGAGAAAACAUCUCCGUUUGUCUUAGUGUCUGUAGUCACGAUGUAGUUCUGUACUGAAUGCAGCCAUCUGCUGGAGAAAACAUCUCCGUUUGUCUUAGUGUCUGUAGUCACGAUGUAGUUCUGUACUGAAUGCAGCCAUCUGCUGGAGAAAACAUCUCCAUUUGUCUUAGUGUCUGUAGUCACGAUGUAGUUCUGUACUGAAUGCAGCCAUCUGCUGGAGAAAACAUAUCUGUUUGUCUUAGUGUCUGUAGUCACGAUGUAGUUCUGUACUGAAUGCAGCCAUCUGCUGGAGAAAACAUCUCCGUUUGUCUUAGUGUCUGUAGUCACGAUGUAGUUCUGUACUGAAUGCAGCCAUCUGCUGGAGAAAACAUCUCCGUUUGUCUUAGUGUCUGUAGUCACGAUGUAGUUCUGUACUGAAUGCAGCCAUCUGCUGGAGAAAACAUCUCCGUUUGUCUUAGUGUCUGUAGUCACGAUGUAGUUCUGUACUGAAUGCAGCCAUCUGCUGGAGAAAACAUCUCCGUUUGUCUUAGUGUCUGUAGUCACGAUGUAGUUCUGUACUGAAUGCAGCCAUCUGCUGGAGAAAACAUCUCAGUUUGUCUUAGUGUCUGUAGUCACGAUGUAGUUCUGUACUGAAUGCAGCCAUCUGCUGGAGAAAACAUCUCCGUUUGUCUUAGUGUCUGUAGUCACGAUGUAGUUCUGUACUGAAUGCAGCCAUCUGCUGGAGAAAACAUCUCUGUUUGUCUUAGUGUCUGUAGUCACGAUGUAGUUCUGUACUGAAUGCAGCCAUCUGCUGGAGAAAACAUCUCCGUUUGUCUUAGUGUCUGUAGUCACGACGUAGUUCUGUACUGAAUGCAGCCAUCUGCUGGAGAAAAGAUCUCCGUUUUGUAGAUCUGUAUUUACAAGAUCAACUAUUUUUGAUAUUCGAUCUUGGGUUUAUUUGUCUUUCCACUGAAGUCUGAGUCUCAGUGUUGUGUUUUGUAAUAUUACGUUACGCUGACAAUUCUAUGUUGACAUUUGGCAGUUCCCUUCCCACAAGUUAGUGUUACGAAGCCGGUGUAUCGUGGGACUGUGAGUUGACUUGGGGGCAGGGUUUCAUAGCGAACCACUGCCUUCCCUACAGUACCCUGGUCUGUCUGUACAGAGGGCUACAGCCAAACGGAGAGGGCCUCUCUGUCAAAACAGAGGCGUGUUUUUUAUCAUGCUGUGUACCUGCCAACCCUGCAUGACUCCUGGCUGGGAGGAGGUCCAGACCAGAGAGACGGGUCGUUUCUUCCACACUGAGGAGUCAUAUGACUUCUAUCUACCUCACAUCUGUUUCUACUGCUUUCUGGGCUCACAUGUUCAUAUCCUGCAUGGUCAGCUGGCACAACGGGCAGAUAGAGACUGAUAAACAAC
rnacentral:lncRNA from 13 species